UAGUGGCGGACGGGUGAGUAACGCGUGAGAAUCUGCCCUCAGGAGGGGGAUAACGGCUGGAAACGGCCGCUAAUACCCCAUAUGCCGAGAGGUGAAAUGAAUUUCGCCUGAGGAUGAGCUCGCGUCUGAUUAGCUAGUUGGUGGGGUAAGAGCCUACCAAGGCUUCGAUCAGUAGCUGGUCUGAGAGGAUGAUCAGCCACACUGGGACUGAGACACGGCCCAGACUCCUACGGGAGGCAGCAGUGGGGAAUUUUCCGCAAUGGGCGAAAGCCUGACGGAGCAACGCCGCGUGAGGGAUGAAGGCCUCUGGGCUGUAAACCUCUUUUCUCAAGGAAGAAGAUCUGACGGUACUUGAGGAAUAAGCCACGGCUAAUUCCGUGCCAGCAGCCGCGGUAAUACGGGAGUGGCAAGCGUUAUCCGGAAUUAUUGGGCGUAAAGCGUCCGCAGGCGGCCUCGUAAGUCUGUCGUUAAAGCGUGGAGCUUAACUCCAUUUCAGCGAUGGAAACUGCGAGGCUAGAGUGUGGUAGGGGCAGAGGGAAUUCCCGGUGUAGCGGUGAAAUGCGUAGAUAUCGGGAAGAACACCAGUGGCGAAGGCGCUCUGCUGGGCCAUAACUGACGCUCAUGGACGAAAGCCAGGGGAGCGAAAGGGAUUAGAUACCCCUGUAGUCCUGGCCGUAAACGAUGAACACUAGGUGUCGGGGGAAUCGACCCCCUCGGUGUCGUAGCCAACGCGUUAAGUGUUCCGCCUGGGGAGUACGCACGCAAGUGU
rnacentral:rRNA from 1 species